UACGGGGGGGGCAAGCGUUGUUCGGAAUUACUGGGCGUAAAGGGCUCGUAGGCGGCCAACUAAGUCGGAUGUGAAAUCCCCAGGCUCAACCUGGGAACUGCAUCCGAUACUGGAUGGCUUGAGUCCGGGAGAGGGAUGCAGAAUUCCAGGUGUAGCGGUGAAAUGCGUAGAUAUCUGGAGGAAUACCGGUGGCGAAGGCGGCAUCCUGGACCGGCAUUGACGCUGAGGAGCGAAAGCUAGGGGAGCAAACGGG
rnacentral:rRNA from 1 species